rnacentral:rRNA from 1 species
AAGCUCUGUUGUAANAAAAAAACGAGCGCCAUAGGGAAUGAUGGAGCAGUGAUGGUAUCUUACCAGAAAGCCGCGGCUAGCUACGUGCCAGCACCCNCGGUAAUACGUAGGUGGCGAGCGUGAUCCGGAAUCAUUGGGCGUAAAGGGUGCGUAGGUGGCACGAUAAGUCUGUAGUAAAAGGCAGCGGCUCAACCGCUGUUGGCUAUGGAAACUGUCGAGCUGGAGUGCAGAAGAGGGCGAUGGAAUUCCAUGUGUAGCGGUAAAAUGCGUAGAUAUAUGGAGGAACACCAGUGGCGAAGGCGGCCGCCUGGUCUGCAACUGACACUGAAGCACGAAAGCGUGGGGAGCAAAUAGGAUUAGAUACCCUAGUAGUCCACGCCGUAAACGAUGAGAACUAGGUGUUGGGGAAACUCAGUGCUGCAGUUAACGCAAUAAGUUCUCCGCCUGGGGAGUAUGCACGCAAGUGUGAAACUCAAAGGAAUUGACGGGGGCCCGCACAAGCGGUGGAGUAUGUGGUUUAAUUCGAAGCAACGCGAAGAACCUUACCAGGCCUUGACAUGGAGAUAAAGGCCCUGGAGACAGGGAGAUAGAUAUAACUCACACAGGUGGUGCAUGGUUGUCGUCAGCUCGUGUCGUGAGAUG